rnacentral:misc_RNA from 1 species
GAAAUGCGAUAAGUAAUGUGAAUUGCAGAGUUCAGUGAAUCAUCGAAUCUUUGAACGCACCUUGCGCUCCUUGGUAUUCCUUGGAGCAUGCCUGUUUGAGUAUCAUGAAAUCUUCAAAGUAAAUCUUUUGUUAACUCAAUUGGUUUCUACUUUGGUAUUGGAGGUCUUUGCAGCUUCACACCUGCUCCUCUUUGUUCAUUAGCUGGAUCUCAGUGUUAUGCUUGGUUCCACUCGGCGUGAUAAGUUAUCUAUCGCUGAGGACACUGUAAAAGGUGGCCAAGGUAAAUGCAGAUGAACCGCUUCUAAUAGUCCAUUGACUUGGACAAUACUUUUAUGAUCUGAUCUCAAAUCAGGUAGGACUACCCGCUGAACUUAAGC